AGACACAGCAUCUUUGUUUCUUUGUUUGCAUGUGGUGCUGAGGAUCGAACCUGGGCCACACGCAUGCCAGGUGAGCACGCUACCACUUGAGCCACAUCCCCAGCCCCGGAAGAGAAUGUUUUAGAAAGUUACAACAUCAGCUUCAUUCCGAGGCUGAUGUCAGUAAGAAGCACAAGAAGGCUGGUAUGUUGAACAUCCUCCAUUUUUCCUCCACACCCUUUCUCUGGUCUUCUCCAUUCUCCUUCGUGCCUGCUCAGACUAAUGGCAGUCAGGGAGCUGUGUGCCUGCUUCCCAUUUCCCACCCUCCUCACUGUGUAGAGUCAGAUUUAUAGACAGAGUCAUCCCCUGUCCUGAUGUUUCCAAGAUUGUUCUCUAAUAGGAAGACCCCAGAUAGACUCUAGAGAAGAAAGCACAGCAGAUUCUAGAGCCACACAAUGGGAACUUGAGACAAUUGAAGCAUAUCAAUCACAAGAGCAUCAAUUCCAGCGGCACUACUCCAUGUUAGCCUCUAGAAACCCUCUGGAUGAUGAUACAGGAUGAAGCUACUCCUUCUGGGCACCACAUGAACUCCAGAUGCAGAUCCCUUUAGGUCUAGGCUCUGAGCAGGUAUAACUGUAAUGAGGUUUGAUCUCUUGCUUGAGUUUAUUCUCCACCUGGACUUGAAUCUAUAAUGAAUCAUCAGCUGGAGUGUAUGAUUCCAUCUCAGGAGGAUGCCGGCAAGAAAGGAUGGAGAGAGAAAAUUAUGGGUUCUGGAAUCAACAGAAGAAGUUUUCUCAGCUUUGCUCCUCGAGAGGUGCAGAAAUGAAGAUAUAUGGAGUUGAAGGACAGAGGUCUCGCAAGUUGCUUUUUCUCUUGCAGACACUAAACAUUUAAUCGCUAAACAUGGUGAAAACACCGUAAAAAAGAUAAAGUCAUUGCUGUAGAAGCUCAAUAAUAUGUUAUUCUGUAAAGUACCUUCUGUCUGCUUGUGACUUUUUCAUUUAGGUUUAAAUUCAGCAAGUAAAGAGUGAAAAGAAGAUAUAACUAUGCUCUCUUGAAAGGAACAGGAUAGAUCUAGAGUAGAUUGAAAUGUGUUUUGAGGCAGGGGAGGAAAAGACCAUGUGUGAAGAGGGUUGGGGACGGUUAGGAGGAAGGCUUGGGAGAGAAGCUCUCACACAGUACACAGUCCGCUUUCCCUGACUGCAGUAGAUUCAGUGCUGUUUUGGAGUGUGGGCCUAAGACUUUCUGAUUUUUCUAGUUUCUUCCAAAAGACAAGGUCUGAAAUUUAUUAAGUCUCCUAAUUCUUCAGUGUUGACUAGUAAAGACAGAAGAAAAUGUUGUGGACCAAAUAAAGUACAUUGAAAAUAAACACAAAAAAGAACAAAUAAAAAUGAAGAAAAUAAUAAAUAACACAGAAUUAAAUUUAAAACAUAUAAAAGCACUAAAUAAAAUAAAUCUAAUACCAUCUAUCCCUCAGAGUUCAAGUCAGGACUCUGAGAAUGGAAAUCUAUUCCUUGAUAGAGAAAGAGCCUCAUUAAAUGCACUGUCCUCUGUAUUAAAAUAUAAAAUUUAUCUUCCAGGAUUAAAGUCAAGUGAGGGUAUGUUGUUAAAUAUAGAACAAUUCUUCUGAAGCUAAUUUUAUUCAAACUUGCUUGUUUUGCUUCAAACUUUGUCUUCCCUCCAUUUUUUUUAUGAGUGUAUGAAAAGCACCGGUAUUAUUUACACUUUUGCUUUUCACCUAUUCUCAACAUCCAGAGUGAAAAGUGAAAAACCCCCACCUCUAAUUUGUUGAAAUUUGUCAGGCAAAAAUAGGUCUCCUUUUUAACACCAUUUUAGUAAUAAUUCAUCACAAUGUUCCACAGAGAGAUAAAGCAGACGCCCACGUUAUCAUUACGUGUUCAUAAUGUGGGCUCUGUGGUGUCUUUAAUUUCCCUGCACCUGCUGUCACAUGAGUCCCCCUCUUUUUAAGGUUUGUGUUUUCUAUUAUGCUGCCAGCAUAACCCUCAGCCUCACGUUGCAAACUGCUGUUGUAGAAUAGGAAAAGCAGAUGGGUACAGCCUGCUUUGGCCUCAUUUUCACCCAUCCCUCGGCCCCCCAUUUUCUUUUCACAAGGCAUUGCAUGUGAUGUGUGGUAUGGAUGUCCUGGGGCCAUGAAUCAGGAACCUCAGUGACAGGAUUGGCUCAGUAACUUAUGGGGUUGGAUAAGGAUGCAUUCUGGAGUAGUCUCCUCUUCUAUUAAAUGAGGGCAUCUGAUUCAAUUUCAAGUUCUCUUUCCAAGCCCUGAGGAAAAAGCAGAUUUCUCUCCAGAAAGCAAAGUCCUACCCAGAAAAAUGCUUAUAUAGGGUGUCCUCAAAACCAAUUAUUCUCUACUCAAAGACUGGAUAGCAUUUGACACAGACUGUGGGAAGCCCAGGACUUAUCAAUAGAACUCUCACCUCUUCGAUGAAAGGACUGUCAGGGGCAGACAGGGGAUAGAAAGGGGAAAUCCUAUGAAAUGACAGUGGCCAAAUAAUAUUGCUAUAUUGUGUGCAUGCAUGAAUGUGUAAAAAUGAAUCCUUCUGUAUGGACAACUAUAAUGUGCCAAUAAAACAAAAGAUACAGGAAAAUAUAUAUAUA